CAGCACUAAACACCACAGUGAUCUCUGUGUUGUCUGCUGCUCUGGCUGUGCUCGUUGUCGUCUUCCUCCUUUAUUCAGGCAAGAAACUCCAGAACAAAGCUUGUGAUUGUUGCAAAGCCUCGGUUGAUCUGCAAACCAUUGCCAGUGGGGAACAGGAGAAUCAGCAGACAGUUGAGGAUUCGUUGGUUUAUUCUGUAGUGACCUUCACCACUAGGAAAUUCAGCAAAGCAGAGUGAAGAGAAGAAGAACUCCACUGAUGGUUCCUUUCUCUUUUCUAACACGUUCAGCGUUUGGCAUUAGAGCUACGCAGUAGAGAUCUGUAGCAAUCUAUUAACCAAUCAUUAUUGUGUGUUAUUUGUGUUUGUAUUUGUGUGAACAGCAUCCGUGUCUUUUUAUCCCUAGUGAAACAUGUGUUCUACACUAUUAA